AUUGAACGCUGGCGGCAGGCCUAACACAUGCAAGUCGAACGAGUGGCGGACGGGUGAGUAAUGUCUGGGAAACUGCCUGAUGGAGGGGGAUAACUACUGGAAACGGUAGCUAAUACCGCAUACCAUCGGAUGUGCCCAGAUGGGAUUAGCUAGUAGGUGGGGUAAAGGCUCACCACGGCGACGAUCCCUAGCUGGUCUGAGAGGCUGACCAGCAAAACUGGAACUGAGACACGGUCCAUACUCCGACGGGAGGCAGCAGUGGGGAAUAUUGCACAAUGGGCUGUAUCCUGAGUCUGCCUGUCCGCGUGUAGUAAUAAUUCCGUGUGGUUGUAAAGUACUUUCAGCGUUUAGGCGUUACCCGCAGAAGAAGCACCGGCUAACUCCGUGCCAGCCGCCGCGGUAAUUC
rnacentral:rRNA from 1 species